CCUGCGGGAGGCAGCAGUGAGGAAUAUUGGUCAAUGGACGCAAGUCUGAACCAGCCAAGUAGCGUGCAGGAUGACGGCCCUCCGGGUUGUAAACUGCUUUUAGGGGGGAAUAAAAGGGGGCUCGUGAGCCCCGUAGUGUAUGUACCAUCAGAAAAAGGAGCGGCUAAUUCCGUGCCAGCAGCCGCGGUAAUACGGAAGGUGCGGGCGUUAUCAGGAUUGAUUGGGUUGAAAGGGAGCGUAGGCGGGCUUUUAAGUCAGCUGGGAAAGUCCGCGGCUCAACCGUGGAAUUGCAGUUGAAACUGGCGGCCUUGAGUGCACACGGGGAUGCCGGAAUUCAUGGUGUAGCGGU
rnacentral:rRNA from 1 species